AACGAUCAUAUCACGUCAAAACACCGGUUCUCGUACGAUCAUCGAAGUUAAGCAAUGUCGAACUUGGUCUGUACCUAGAUCGGUGACCCCUUUAGAAUACCAGGUGCUGUA